GAGAGACUAGCACAAUGGCCUGUGCGCUGGGGUAUCGACCAACAGGUCGUGGGUUCGAAUCCCUCACCCCUUU
rnacentral:tRNA from 1 species